rnacentral:rRNA from 1 species
CACGUAGGGUGCGAGCGUUGUCCGGAAUUAUUGGCGUAAAGAGCUCGUAGGCGGUUUGUCGCGUCUGCUGUGAAAACUGGAGGCUCAACCUCCAGCCUGCAGUGGGUACGGGCAGACUAGAGUGCGGUAGGGGAGAUUGGAAUUCCUGGUGUAGCGGUGGAAUGCGCAGAUAUCAGGAGGAACACCGAUGGCGAAGGCAGAUCUCUGGGCCGUAACUGACGCUGAGGAGCGAAAGCAUGGGAGCGAACAGG